UACGUAGGGAGCAAGCGUUGUUCGGAUUUACUGGGCGUAAAGGGCGCGUAGGCGGCAAUUCAAGUCAGCUGUGAAAUCUCCGGGCUUAACUCGGAACGGUCAGCUGAUACUGCUUUGCUAGAGUGCGGAAGGGGCAAUCGGAAUUCUCGGUGUAGCGGUGAAAUGCGUAGAUAUCGAGAGGAACACCAGUAGCGAAGGCGGCUCGCUGGGCCAUUCCUGACGCUGAGAAGCGAAAGCAUGGGGAGCGAACAGG
rnacentral:rRNA from 1 species